rnacentral:misc_RNA from 1 species
GAGCAUAUUGUGGGUUUCCUGUGUUGCAUACCUAAUUAAUGGUAUCAUUUUGAUUGAUCGAAGUCCCUUUUCAUCUUGUGUUGCAUUUGUGACGCAUGAUGAACCUUGAAGCGGUCUCUAUGUUCCAUCAUGUUGAUGCAAAUGCGUCGAUGUUGUGGCCCAUUGAGUGUUGCUUGGUAUCCUGGAUACGGAACAUUGUUUGGGCAUGGGGUCUCUCAUGACUCUUUUUUUGUCCUUGUCGGUGUUCUUCAAAACGACAGCUCAUGCGCGCCUAGGCUCGUACCUGCGCGAUGUUCUUUGUCGAAGAGGAAUGCUACCUGGUUGAUCCUGCC